AUGGGAGAACGGACCGACCGCACCUAGGAGACCCAGUUCUCUCUCCUCCAGAGCCCCCCAGAGGGAUCGGGGCAGCCAGGAGCCAGGGUGGGCAGGACGCAGGGUCUCUUUUGCGGGCUACAGGGUGCUGAAAGCGUCGAGGUUUCUGUCGGGCCCCGAUACGUUCGAGCUGUGGAAAUGGGAACGGCACGUGCCUACACUGGCUCCUAGGAGAACUUAAAUGGACUUGCUUGCCCAGGCUAGAGCCCUACCCGGCAGGCCCUCCACAACACCAAGAAGAACGGGUCUGUAGUUAAAGUCAAGGACCCCGAGGAGUGUUGGGGAAACUUGCCUAGGCCCACUGUGACCUUACCAAAUCUAUAAGAUGGCUCCGUGGAUAAAGGUGCUUGCUUUUAAACCUGGAGACCUCCACUCGAUCCCUGUGACCCUUAUUAACCAUGGAAGCAGAGACCUCCACGUAUGUGCACCACCCCUCAAGCAUGUUCCCUACCCCACGGUAACGAUAAACAACGUUAUUUUUAAAGUGAAGCGGUAGGCUGGACAUCUAUCUGCAUUUUCCUGUUCUUCAAGCCCUCUGGAAGCUCUCUGAAAGCCGCCGCAAAAGUGGCUCAGCGCUCCGCCCCAGUUCAUGGGUGAGAAGACAAUCUUCAGAAGUGACAGGCCACGGUCACAGAGCAGGGCUGCUUGGACCCUGGGCAUGCUGGUUGUGCGCAAAGCGGAGCAGAAGAAAGAAAAAGCUGCUAGAGAUUGAGACACUGGCCUUCCUCAAGCCUAAACCCUCCCUGACUUCAAAGCCCUGGACCAAGGCUCGUAUUAAAACCCUGACCUCUCCUUGUACU
rnacentral:lncRNA from 1 species